AUACGUAGGUCCCGAACGUUGCGCGAAAUUACUGGGCGUAAAGGGUCCGUAGGCGGUCUGGUAAGUGGAAGGUGAAAGCCUGGGGCUCAACUCCAGAAUUGCCUUCCAAACUGCCGGACUUGAGGCAGGGAGAGGUCGGCGGAAUUCCCGGUGUAGUGGUGAAAUGUGUAGAUAUCGGGAGGAACACCAGUGGCGAAGGCGGCCGACUGGAACUGUCCUGACGCUGAGGGACGAAAGCCAGGGGAGCGAACCGGAUUAGAAACCCUAGUAGUCC
rnacentral:rRNA from 1 species